rnacentral:rRNA from 1 species
AUUGAACGCUGGCGGCAUGCCUUACACAUGCAAGUCGAACGGUAACAGGUCUUCGGAUGCUGACGAGUGGCGAACGGGUGAGUAAUACAUCGGAACGUGCCCAGACGUGGGGGAUAACGAGGCGAAAGCUUUGCUAAUACCGCAUACGAUCUAAGGAUGAAAGCAGGGGACCGCAAGGCCUUGCGCGUUUGGAGCGGCCGAUGGCAGAUUAGGUAGUUGGUGGGAUAAAAGCUUACCAAGCCGACGAUCUGUAGCUGGUCUGAGAGGACGAUCAGCCACACUGGGACUGAGACACGGCCCAGACUCCUACGGGAGGCAGCAGUGGGGAAUUUUGGACAAUGGGCGAAAGCCUGAUCCAGCAAUGCCGCGUGCAGGAUGAAGGCCUUCGGGUUGUAAACUGCUUUUGUACGGAACGAAAAGGCUCUGGCUAAUACCUGGGGCACAUGACGGUACCGUAAGAAUAAGCACCGGCUAACUACGUG